AAUUCAAUACCGGUAUCAAAACACCAGCAGGUCCGAUACCAAAACAAGUACCAAUAAUCUGUUAUCGGUACCAUUAAAACAGUAGUCCUUCAAGAUGGCGGUCUGGCAGACGGUUCAAAACGAAGCGGAGAUUUAUAAAGUGAUUUCCUCGGUUUAUUCAGGUGAAGGAGGCUGUUACUGUCUGCCUGGCACUUGGCACUCUUCACCGUUCUGCUUUCCGCCUGGAGUGCCACGGGGCCAACAGUGAGUGCCGGGCAGCUGACGGUGGACCUGGUAAUUACCUGUGAGAAGUUGGUCCUUGGAUGUAAGGCAAGUCUUGCUCAGCUCAGUGACAUUGCACUGAAGAAUGAGGCUUGUCCCUUGUUUGCUUGUGUCUCAUACUCCAUAAAUCAGGAACUUGAGAAGCUGCUUCCAGUCUUGUCUCAGGUGGGCACCACCCAGCCCCUCUGACCACAGCAGCAAAGACCAGUGCCAUGUCUUGCCUGCCCAGUGCCUUGCUGUCAUGCAGACCCCCUCAUAGAAAGUGAGCGACAUAACCUCCUGACUGAGCUGGUGGUGGUCCUGCAAUGCCUAUGAGCGAUGGGACAACAACCAAAUCCCUGGCCACAGCUGCGCUACCUCACCUCCCACACAACAGAGGAGGAUGUGCUAGUCUCACUUGGGGCCUUGGAGCUGGAGAACACAAAGGAAGAACAAACAACAGCAGACCUGAUGGUUCUUACGAGGCUGUUUGUGACAAGCUACACUAACUAUCUAAUCAAAGGUGGAAGAUGAAGGACAGCAAGAUGAAGAAGCGUCUCUCAGCCCUUCCUCUCGGGUGCCGGCUUUGUCAAACUCUUCAUGGAAAUUUGCACUGACCUCAUCAUGCCAGAGACUGGGCAUGCACAAGGCGACCCAUUGUAGUAGCACUGUUGUGUUCCCCCAGUGACCUGCCGACCACUGUGCUGCUCAUCAAGCUUGUGGAGGAGGGAGACAGUGCGAUGGGCACAGUCAUGCUGCUCAACUUUCUCAAUGCUUGGAAGGUCCAGGAGCCGUCCAGCUGCCCCGGAGAGCCCAGCGACCACACCCUGCAAGACAGCCUGCUCAUCCUGGGACACACAGCCUCACCCUUCAGGCAGGAGACUGACGGG